CCCUUAGAUGUUCUGGGCUGCACGCGCGCUACACUGAUGCGCUCAACGAGUUUUAACCUUGCCUGGAAAGGUUGGGUAAUCUUUUUAAAACGCAUCGUGAUAGGGAUAGACUAUUGCAAUUAUUGGUCUUCAACGAGGAAUUCCUAGUAGACGUAGUUCAUCAGACUGCAUCGAUUACGUCCCUGCCCUUUGUACACACCGCCCGUCGCUCCUACCGAUUGAAUGCUCAGGUGAGCCAUUCGGACUUUCAUCAUGCUGGUUUCCAGUUUUGAUGAAGGAAAGUCUUGCGAACCUUAUCAUUUAGAGGAAGGAGAAGUCGUAACA
rnacentral:rRNA from 1 species